rnacentral:rRNA from 1 species
UACAGAGGUGGCAAGCGUUGUUCGGAAUUACUGGGCGUAAAGGGCGCGUAGGCGGCCUACUAAGUCAGACGUGAAAUCCCCCGGCUUAACCUGGGAACUGCGUCUGAUACUGGAAGGCUUGAGUAUGGGAGAGGGAUGUAGAAUUCCAGGUGUAGCGGUGAAAUGCGUAGAUAUCUGGAGGAAUACCGGUGGCGAAGGCGGCAUCCUGGACCAUUACUGACGCUGAGGCGCGAAAGCUAGGGGAGCAGACGGG